GCCCGCUGACCAGCGGCAGGCUGAUACGCAGCUUGCCGCGCGGCGCGGCCCGGGUGUCCGCCAGUUCAAGCUCGGCGGCGGCUA
rnacentral:tRNA from 1 species